rnacentral:tRNA from 2 species
CAUUAGAUGUCUGAAAG